UUCCAGGUCCACUGAGAAUCCCAGUUUAGU
rnacentral:piRNA from 1 species